GAGUAACAUGUGGGAAUCUGCCUUGUGGUUCAGGACAACAUUGGGAAACCGAUGCUAAUACUGGAUAAGCCCUUACGGGGAAAGUUUUAAUGCCAUAAGAUGAGCCCGCAUUUGAUUAGUUAGUUGGUGAGGUAAUGGCUCACCAAGACAAUGAUCAAUAGCUGAUCUGAGAGGAUGAUCAGCCACACUGGGACUGAGACACGGCCCAGACUCCUACGGGAGGCAGCAGUGGGGAAUCUUGCACAAUGGAGGAAACUCUGAUGCAGCGAUGCCGCGUGAGUGAAGAAGGCCUUUGGGUUGUAAAGCUCUUUUGUAGGGGAAGAUAAUGACUGUACCCUAAGAAUAAGGUCCGGCUAACUUCGUGCCAGCAGCCGCGGUAAUACGAAGGGACCUAGCGUAGUUCGGAAUUACUGGGCGUAAAGCGCGCGUAGGCCGUUGAGUUAGUUAAUUGUGAAAUCCCAAAGCUUAACUUUGGAACUGCAAUUAAAACUGCUCGACUAGAGUUUGAUAGAGGAAAGCGGAAUACAUAGUGUAGAGGUGAAAUUCGUAGAUAUUAUGUAGAACACCAGUUGCGAAGGCGGCUUUCUGGAUCAACACUGACGCUGAGGCGCGAAAGUAUGGGUAGCAAAGAGGAUUAGAUACCCUCGUAGUCCAUACCAUAAACGAUGAUUGCUAGAUGUUGGAAAUUUAUUUUCAGUAUCGCAGCUAACGCAUUAAGCAAUCCGCCUGGGGAGUACGACCGCAAGGUUAAAACUCAAAUGAAUUGACGG
rnacentral:rRNA from 1 species